rnacentral:rRNA from 1 species
GAUUGCGAUCAUACCAGCACUAAUGCACUGGAUCCCAUCAGAACUCCGCAGUUAAGCGUGCUUGGGCGAGAGUAGUACUAGGAUGGGUGACCCCCUGGGAAGUCCUCGUGUUGCAACCCC